rnacentral:rRNA from 1 species
UACGUAGGGUGCGAGCGUUGUCCGGAAUUAUUGGGCGUAAAGAGCUCGUAGGCGGUUUGUCGCGUCGGCCGUGAAAUCUCCACGCUUAACGUGGAGCGUGCGGUCGAUACGGGCAGACUUGAGUUCGGUAGGGGAGACUGGAAUUCCUGGUGUAGCGGUGAAAUGCGCAGAUAUCAGGAAGAACACCCGUGGCGAAGGCGGCUCUCUGGAACGCAACUGACGCUGAGACGCGAAAGCGUGGGGAGCAAACAGG